rnacentral:tRNA from 1 species
GGGCCUUUAGCUCAGUUGGCUAGAGCGCACGACUGAUAAUCGUGAGGUCACAAGUUCGAAUCUUGUAAGGCCCACCA